CUGCAGAUGGAGGUCAGGACCCUGGAAAGGAGGCAGGGUCUGCAGGAUCAUGGAGUGUCCUUUCAGAGAUGCUAUGAGAAAGCAUGGGUGCAAGGUCACUGGACACCUAUGGGAUGGCCUGGGAGUAGACCCAGGGUCAGGGACAGCUGGGUGACCCCAGCCGACCAAGGGAAGUCAGUGGGCGUAGUGAACAGGCUGGAGGUGGCCGUACCCUCCUGGCACGUGCUGGCCCCCCGGUGCCUGGGGCAGGGGUGAGGUGCACAGACUGCCCAGGGAACAGCACAUAGAGCACUUGGGGGAGGUCUGUCCUUCAGUGGAGAGCUGGGCUCCGAGGUUCUCCUUCAGCUGCCAGCUGGGCCAGUGGCACAGUGCGCAUCGUGUGGCCUGUUGCUAGGAUGCAGCUUUGGAACGUGCGAGGGAAGAAUGGGCUCAUGCGAACAUUCUGGAGGAAAGGGCACAUGUGCAGAGGACUUGUGAGGACCUGGGGUGGGACAUACUUAACAUAUGACCCAACAUGCCACUCCUGGGAAGGUAACCAACAACUUAUCACAAAACCCGUGUGUGAUGAAUGUUUGUGCUGCCUUAUUCAAAUUUCCGCACAUAGGCCUAUUGAGGUUGUCCAGUUUUUCUUGAAUGGGUUUGUAAGGAUUUUUAGUUGUCCUAGGAAUAACACUAUGUGUAUGAAUUGUUCCACAGUUUAAUUAGACUUAGCGUUUUACCAGGUAGACAAAAUGUCGAAGCCCUGUAACCACAUAGAUUCUUCUACCUUCCACUCUGUUAGAGAUGUCACGCGUGUCACCUUUAUAUGAUUUGAACGCCACCCCCUGAGACUCUGGUGUACUUUUUUCAUUCAAAGUCAUACGUAUAUUAAAUAAUUUAAGAGGAGAGAAAUAGGCCCUCACUUUUAUCCAGAGAUGACCGUUUCUGUUGCCCUUUCUCUGUUCCCGAAGUUGCAGGCUGCUCUGUCAUUUCACCUCAGCCUGAAGAAGUUCGUCUCACACAGUGUUUUAUAGCAAGUUGUCUGCUGAUGAAUUCUCCUAGGUUUCGCUCAUCUCCAUCAGUUGAAAGAUGCUUCCAUAUACAUCGACUACGACUAUGACAUGAAGGGAUGUUCCUGUGGAUCAGAAUUACUAGGACAGAGCUCCAGCUACCAUUUCACUACAAUGUCAGAAAUAGUCAACUAAAGUUCCUUCGCUGUGUGACUUAUGAGUCUUCCUGUGGGGAAUGUGGGAAAAAAGAGUAACAUUAUCAUGGGUGUGCUAAGGGUUUUGUGCUGUGCACGGGAUUUUAGUGCUAUAUUUGCAUGAUGAGAGUUACUGAACCCUCCAACAAGAGAGGAAUCUUUGAAUUCUUGCACACUACCAUUCAGCAGACUCCACAGUAGCCUGGUCGCAUAUCCAGGGAUGUGGAGGAUGGAGCCAGGGUUGCACUGAUAUUGCCUGAAUCCCCAUGUGGAGGAGCCAAGAUGAUUGAGGGCAAGUAUAUGCAGGGAGUGGGGAAGGAGUACAGAGGGAGGAUGUGGGCUGCUAGGGGCUAGUGUAGGUACUGAAGAACCAGUGCUAAUACACCUAACCAAGAAGUAUCAAAUCAGAAAUCAUAUAAGGCUGCCCUUGUUUGUGGAUGCAAGAAUCUCCAUGUAACAUAAGUCAGGUUCUUCCAGGAUGUGGCAUCAGGGAAGGACCUGAAUACUAUCUCUAUAGACCAGGUCUAAUUAAAGCAUAAAACCAUAAAACACUAUGGCUGUCAAUUGUUAUCUGUAAAAUAAGGAUGUUAGUAUCUUCCUUGUGAUCAUCAGUAGAGUAGCUAAAGCCUUCUUGCUGUGACCCUAGGCAAAGAGACUGCUUCCCCUGUUUGUCUUACAUCGUUCUUCAUGCAAGUGUGGUUUGAGCUGGCAGAUUCACUGCCAUGUGAAGGGUUAGGCUUUCAGGACAGGUAUAUGUACAAGUGGUGGAAAAGACUGAAGUCUCAUGGCUUCUUUUUCUUUUGUCAGCUUUGUCUGCUUAGUUAUCAGACUUUCCUUUGGUGGGAAGUCUAAGGAAGAUGGGGCAGCCGAGCUCUUGAGAAUGCACCCACAGGUGAGUAGGAACUUGCUCUCGCUCCUCAAUUGAUGCUUCUGUUACCAGCGGAUAGGUAGGUUUCUCCCAUUGGCCUGGAUCUUCUCGGUGCAAGCAGGAAAUGUUAGUCUGUUAUGUUUCGGUAGGGUUCUGGGAGGCUUAUGGCAGGUCCAGGACUGAUAAAUAAAUAACCUCCUUCCUACAUUUACACUAAUUUAGUCAAUUCUCCAUUAAAAAUGUCCUUGCAGAGAAGAGAUGUGAAUGGUUUUUUCUUUUUCCUUAUCCAGCCCAUAGCCUUGGUGGAGAAAUAAGUCGCUCGUUAACAUUGUUAGUGACUACAGUGGCCUUAGGCAAGUGGUUAACAGGUGUGGAGAUGAGUAAGAGUGAAGGUUCUAUUCCAGUAUUGGGGGAUAUUUCAUCAAGUGAGUUCAAUCAAUCCAGUGUCACAGGGGCGGGGGUGGAGGCUGUGUAGCCUUGAGGUGGUGGGUUCAAGAGAGGAUUGGACCACAGAGAGCAAUGAAGAGUCAUCUAUUUAUUUUCACCAAUUUUGAAUUUAUUAAAAUUUUAUAAAAAAUACUUUGACAUUUUGGUAACUUAAAAAAAGGUAACUAGACCCGGCACUAGUGAUCUAGUGGAUAAGGUUCAUUGCUCUCACUGCUGCGGCCUGGGUUCAUUUCACGGUCUUAGAACCCCACCACCCAUCUGCCAGUUGUCAUACUGUGGCAGUGGCUCACUGAGAACUAGACUAGCAACUAGGAUACACAAGCAUGCACUGAAGCUUUAAAA